rnacentral:tRNA from 1 species
GCCCGGUUAGCUCAAUCGGUAGAGCGUGAGACUCUUAUGAGUACACAAUCUCAAGGUUGCGGGUUCGACCCCCGCAUCGGGCU